rnacentral:rRNA from 1 species
GUCCACGCCGUAAACGGUGGAUGCUGGAUGUGGGACCAUUCCACGGUCUCCGUGUCGGAGCCAACGCGUUAAGCAUCCCGCCUGGGGAGUACGGCCGCAAGGCUAAAACUCAAAGAAAUUGACGGGGCCCGCACAAGCGGCGGAGCAUGCGGAUUAAUUCGAUGCAACGCGAAGAACCUUACCUGGGCUUGACAUGUUCCCGACAGCCCCAGAGAUGGGGCCUCCCUUCGGGGCGGUUCACAGGUGGUGCAUGGUCGUCGU